CAAAAUAUCGUGUAAAGAUCUUUGAUGUGUAUGUGUCUCCAGCAUUACAUGUCAAUUGGCACGCACGGAGACAUGGCCGGCUGAAUAGAGGAGACAAAUGGUGUGAUCGUCCCGGACCCAAGCCCGUAGAGUUUCAAGAGUUCACGAAACUUUUUUUUUUAAUAUCAUUUUUGGAAUUUGAUUCUUUUAACUAAUCGCCUAAGUGUAAAUAGACGAAUCAGACAUUUGUCUUUAUGAUGAUAAAUGCAUAUAUAUACAGUGAGAAGAGACUAUAUACUAUAAUACUGAUAAUGUUACAAACCUGCAUACAAGAAAUAUUCCAAUGUUUCCUCUAAAUAAAAGAAGUCAAUUGCAAAAGCACUAACUACUACAUAAAACAACGUAUCAAUAACAAGCUAGAGAGCUUUUGAUCAAGUCGCGGACGCACUUGUGCACUUACGGGGCACUUGCCCCCAUCUCUUUUUAUUUUUUUUCCAAUCAUUUACAUAGUCAUUUAUGUAAUGCCCCCGACCUCAAAUAUUAAACAUAAUGAAAAUUUUAUUUGUGCCCUCAUCUAAUAUCAUCUUCGAUCCGCCCCACCCAACAUCGGUUUGAACACCAGAACUCUUAAGUUAGAAGUCAUAUGACCAGGCCCG
rnacentral:lncRNA from 1 species